rnacentral:rRNA from 1 species
GUGCCAGCCGCCGCGGUAAGACAGAGGGUGCAAACGUUGCUCGGAAUUACUGGGCGUAAAGCGCGUGUAGGUGGCCACGCAAGUCAGGUGUGAAAGCCCAGGGCUCAACCCUGGAAGUGCACAUGAUACUACGUGGCUGGAGUACUGAAGAGGAGAGCGGAAUUCCCGGUGUAGAGGUGAAAUUCGUAGAUAUCGGGAGGAACACCAGUGGCGAAGGCGGCUCUCUGGGCAGAUACUGACACUGAGACGCGAAAGCGUGGGUAGCAAACAGGAUUAGAAACCCCAGUAGUCC